rnacentral:rRNA from 1 species
GUGGCGAACGGGUGAGUAAUGCAUCGGAACGUGCCCAGUAGUGGGGGAUAGCCCGGCGAAAGCCGGAUUAAUACCGCAUGAGACCUGAGGGUGAAAGCGGGGGACUCGCAAGAGCCUCGCGCUACUGGAGCGGCCGAUGUCAGAUUAGCUAGUUGGUGGGGUAAAGGCCUACCAAGGCGACGAUCUGUAGCUGGUCUGAGAGGACGACCAGCCACACUGGGACUGAGACACGGCCCAGACUCCUACGGGAGGCAGCAGUGGGGAAUUUUGGACAAUGGGCGCAAGCCUGAUCCAGCCAUGCCGCGUGCGGGAAGAAGGCCUUCGGGUUGUAAACCGCUUUUGUCAGGGAAGAAAUCUUCUGGGCUAAUACCCUGGGAGGAUGACGGUACCUGAAGAAUAAGCACCGGCUAACUACGUGCCAGCAGCCGCGGUAAUACGUAGGGUGCAAGCGUUAAUCGGAAUUACUGGGCGUAAAGCGUGCGCAGGCGGUUAUAUAAGACAGAUGUGAAAUCCCCGGGCUCAACCUGGGAACUGCAUUUGUGACUGUAUAGCUAGAGUACGGUAGAGGGGGAUGGAAUUCCGCGUGUAGCAGUGAAAUGCGUAGAUAUGCGGAGGAACACCGAUGGCGAAGGCAGUCCCCUGGACCUGUACUGACGCUCAUGCACG